GACUUGUUGGCCAAAUGGUAAGGCGUCUGACUACGAAUCAGAAGAUUGAGGGUUCGAGUCCCUUACAAGUCA